CAUGGGAUUUAGAAAUCGGAACAGAGCAAUACUGCCCAGUGGGGGCGCAAUGACACUUACUGGUGAUUGGACAGGAAUGAGGCAGAAUAGCUACGUUGUCAUGACCCGAUCGUACCGAGCAUGCCACAUGUCCUGGCACAGGUUCUAUAUUGUUCUGAGACAUGAUACCUAACUGUUUACUGUUUACCUUGUUCUGUACUCUCUAGGGGUGUACAGUAAUUAGGGUGGUACAACCAAGGCGAGUGUAUGCUGUGCUUAUGCUUGUAGCUGUGUGGUGUAUGGGUGACUAUUCUAUCCCUCUCUCUCUCUUCAUGUGCAACGGAGGGAGUACCACCAUACAAUGGAUCAACCAACCACUCCAUCAUCUGAACAGGAGGAAACCUCCAUUGAGUGCUACCUAUUCCAGUGGACAAGAGCAUCAGAAUAUUAAGAGACAUCAAA